AGAGUUUGAUUAUGGCUCAGAACGAACGCUGGCGGCAGGCCUAAACCAUGCAAGUUGAACGGCCAUAGCAAUAUGGCAGUAGCGCAAGGGUGAGUAAUGUAUGGGAACGUAUCUUUUGGUGGGAAUAUUCUUUGGAAACGAAGAGCAAUACCGCAUAAGCCCUACGGGGGAAAGAUUUAUCGCCGAUUGAGCGGCCCAUAUUGGAUUAGCUAGUUGGUUGGGUAACGGCCGACCAAGGCUAUGAUCCAUAGCUGGUCUGAGAGGACGAUCAGCCACACUGGGACUGAGACACGGCCCAGACUCCUACGGGAGGCAGCAGGUAGGAAUAUUGGACAAUGGGGGCAACCCUGAUCCAGCCAUGCCGCGUGAGUGUUAAGGCCUUCGGGUUGUAAGGCUCUUUUGUAUGGGAAAAUGAUGAUGGUACCAUAAGAAUAAGCACCGGCUAACUUCGUGCCAGCCGCCGC
rnacentral:rRNA from 1 species